AUUGAACGCUGGCGGCAGGCCUAACACAUGCAAGUCGAACGGUAACAUGAAGCUUCUUGCUGCUUUUCUUUCGAGUGUCGGUCGUGUGUGUUAUGUCUGUGAAACUGCCCGAUGGAGGGGGUUAACUACUGGAAACGGUAUCUAAUACCGCAUAACGUCGCAAGCCCAAUGAGGGGUACCUUAUUUCCUCUUUCCAUCGGAUGUUCCCAGAUGGGAUUAGCUAGUAGGUGGGGUAACGUCUCACCUAGGCGACGAUCCCUAGCUGGUCUGAGAGGAUGACCAGACACACUGGAACGGAGACACGGACCAGACUACUACGGGAGGCAGCAGUGGGGAAUAUUGCACAAUGGGCGAAAGCAUGAUGCAGCAAUGCCGCGUGUAUGAAGAAGGACUUCGGGUUGUAAAGUAAUUUAAGCGGGGAGGAAGGGAGUAAAGUUAAAAAAUUAGCAGAUUGACGUUAACAGAAGAAGAAGCACCGGCUAACUACGUG
rnacentral:rRNA from 1 species